UGCCAGCCGCCGCGGUAAUACGAAGGUGGCGAGCGUUGUUCGGAUUCACUGGGCAUAAAGGGCGAGUAGGCGGUCGGCCAAGUGGAAUGUGAAAGCCCGGGGCUCAACCCCGGAACUGCAUUCCAAACUUGCGGACUAGAGGACAGGAGGGGGAAGUGGAACUCCAGGUGGAGCGGUGAAAUGCGUUGAUAUCGUGAGGAACACCGGUGGCGAAAGCGGCUCUCUGGGUCUCUUCUGACGCUGAGGGACGAAAGCUAGGGGAGCAAACAGGAUUAGAUA
rnacentral:rRNA from 1 species